rnacentral:lncRNA from 1 species
CUUGUGAUGAGAACGAAGAUAUUGGGAGGCCAGAAGUGUUCAGUGAAGAUCGUGGGUGUGAGGUGACAUUUGAGUGGAAAACAAAAGUUGUCUGCCCUCCGAAGAAGAUGGAGUGCAAGUUUGUUCAGAAGCAUAAAACCUAUGACUUGCGAUUGCUCUCAUCCCUCACGGGGUCCUGGGAUUUUGUGCAUGAAGGAAACUCGUGAGUAUGCCACUGAGUGUGGUCCCUCAAGUUUGCAAAGACAGGAAUAUCACAUACCCGUGGGUUUUGGGGAUCUCAUUGAGACACAGCCUAGAUUGUCAGUGAAUGACCCCAAAAUCAUAGUGUAUGGGGAAUUCUGGUGAGCAUCCAUGGAGGCAACUGUGAAGGGCUUCCUGUUGCUCAGGUUUGAGGGAAGGAUAGGUUUCCUCUGAC